CCAGGGGGUGUUGCAUUUGAACUCCACUGCGCGCAGUGCUGCCGUCCCCUCUCUGCCCGUUGCACACCCGCCCCUCUCCGGGCCAGCGCUCUCUGCCGCGCUGGCUUGCCUCUCCGGCUCCCCAACGAGUCCUCAACAAGUUGGAGGGAGGCAGGAGCGCACGGGUUAAACUCGGGAAGCUGCAAUUACCAAGAUCGUGACCCUCCCACACAGUACAGUAACUUAUAUACUUACCCGGAAGAGCCCGCUUUGCCGCUGGGCAAACACCCAUGGGGGUUGGGGAGGGGCAGGAGGGGAGCGGGCUGGCCAGAGAGGGCUGCUUCCAGACCGCUGCAGAGCACACCGAACCAAUGCACUCCCAAGACCCCCGGACUCAGGUGGUCAAGCCCGUCCUGAUACUGAAUGGUACAGUGAGGAGUGGCCACCCAAGGGAGGCAGUCUCGGAGGUCACAGGAGUUCCAGGAACUCCGUUACUUGCAUGGAGAGGAAGUUUGCAAGAGAAUUUGGCAGUUCUGCUGGAUCAAGCAAAUAAAGAUUGGCAACUGGAGCUAGAGCUGGAUUUGACAACUGGAUAUGAGAAUCGAACCAAAGCUCCCUGUGUCCACCUGGUUGGCAGAAUGCUUCUCCAGCACAGAAGGAACUGGUACACACGUGGGAUUCAAGCACUCAGGAGCUGGAGGCAGAGCACCAGAAGCUCAGGUAUAAGGGGUUCAGGGUCAGCCUAGGGCACAUGAGAUCCUGCCGAAAGCAACAACCAAACUCAACGUGUUGAACUAUAUUCAGCUGAAGAUCAGAUAGUGCAGUGGAUGACAGAGCUGUUAAGAACAAGUAAUGAAGACUUGGGCCCUUGUCUCAAUUGUUAAGCUAUGAUAGUAUUCUUAAAAACAUCCAACUCUUAUAGAGUUCCUUAAUUAUGAAAAUUUCUUUUAUACAGUUUAGUACUCCUGGUUUUGCUGUGAAAAUUGAAUAUGGAUUUGUAGAAAUUUGUACCAAAAUGUAGAAAAACUGCCAAUGAACUUCAAUGGAAAUCUUUAUGUACUAUUACAAUGAAAUGCUGUUAAUUCAUGUUGCUUACAUUAAAGACUAUUUUCAACUUUAAAUAUUUUAAAUAAAUGAUUCUGAAGUCCC
rnacentral:lncRNA from 1 species